rnacentral:lncRNA from 1 species
CAACUUCCCAGACCCCGAUUCUGUGUUUCCCCUCCAAUUCCCCUGCUCCCCCUCCUCCCAGAAAUGGAGGAAACUGCGAGGCCAUGGUGAUGCUGCCUUGUUUAGUAAAAGAAAAUGUGAAAAAGAUUAAGGCGGAUCAAUCAAAAUGUCAGCCUGAUCUUGAACUGUUGGAAAAGAAGCCUUGUUUUUAUUCAAGUGUGUCACAAAGACCUGGGUGACCUUGUUUUGCAAGUGAAAACCUUUGACUGUGACAUAGGCAUGCUUCUUGUGUCCAGCUCUUAUUUAGCAAAUAAACUAAAAGUACUGCCUAUGUUUAUGGUAAACAACUGAUUUGGUUCUACUAAAAAAAAAUAAUAAAAAAACAAUUACAGCUGGAUAAUGUAGAACCAGAUUAGGUUUCUUUUAUAUUUGUUGUCACCAAAUGCUCCCAAUCUUUCUGAGCUCUGAGGCUCGUUAAGUAGAUGUUUUAAAAUGGUGCAACAGACAACGCAGCUGUAUUUCAUUUGUAGAUAAUUGAUGCAAUACAUGUAAUAACCCAACUGGAUAUGUUGACUCAUGAGCUAAUUUAGGUGUAGAUGUUACAGCACUUGUGCAGCUGGAAAUGUUGCCAUCACACAAAUCAGUUGCAGAUUAAUGGAGUCAGGUCCCUGUCUGCACUAGGAAGAGAUAAAAGGACACAGUCAAAUAUAAAAACAAGUUCUGAAGAGUUAUUGUUACCUGCACCCCUUGCCUCCUUUGCCUUAUCUUUGAAAAAAGGACAUCAUCGACCUGCGCACCUUCUGCAUACUUCAGGAUCCAUGUCUUCUGGAAAAGGGAGUCAAAAACAACAAUCUGGAAUAAAUGGGUUCAUGGAAAAUUUUGUCUGUAAAAUUACCAAUCACAGCCCUGCAGGAGCUGAUAAGGACCUGCUUUAGCCUGGCUCUUAUCUUAUGUUCUGCUGCAUUAUUACCUGUGAACAUUACUUUGACUGCAUCCUAAUUAGAGUUGCCUAGGUUUAUUCCACCUGUACUAUAGAAGGCAGCAGUCAGGCUGGAUGAUACUUUCCUUGAACUUGUUUUUUGAAAAGUGUGAUUUCUCUGGCCCAAAACAUUACAACCUAGUCUCAAAACUGUUCAGAAUAUCGUAUGUCCACCAAAAUGUUAGUAAAUUAUCUGAGUAGAGAUAAAGUCCUUCUACAGAAUACAGUAGUAUUUCAGAGACUUUGAUUCUGCUCAUUUUCCUGCUGUUUUCAGAGGUUACUUUAAAGUCUAUUUCCAAAUUAAACACUUCAGACUUUGACUCACGGAAGCGUACAUUUGACAGGGGUAGUCAGUUUAGAUACAUGCACGACCAUUAGUAUCAUAGAAGUCGUGCUCUAGGUAUUUGGAAGAGACACUAGUAGUUUAUAUAUAUGUUUCCUGUAUUCAGAUAUUUACAUGUUGAACCAGAGAGAAGAGAUACUUUUUUUUACUCUUUUUUUUUUUUUUUUUGCACAAAAAUAAGUGAGAUGUUGGCUAAAAAUGUAUUGGGAUCCCUGGUUAAUACUCCUUAGAUUAAAAAACAAAACAAAACAAAACAAAAAUAAAACGCCUGCAGAUGAGUAUAGAGGAAACCUA